CGUGUCAGGUUUCUAAAAUAUGUUAGCAGAUGACCAAUUGUACAUAGCCAUUACACGACUUAAAAAUAUAUGACGUGCUCAAGCCUAACAGCAUUGUCGGCCCUUUCUCGUUAUCUAAUUGAUUUCGUCACUCUCAUACCUAAAUCGUAUUUAUACAGUCGUGAAAUUCUCAUACCGAGCGAAGGUUGUUUUGAAAAAUUGAAAACAUGGACACCUCAAAGGGAACGGAGAGAAUAAACGAAGAAGGAGCGGUGGAGAUUAAGGUGGACGCCACAAAUUACAAGACAUCAGUAGGACAUGAAGAAGAGCCAAAGAAAGAGGACGUGAAGAUAACCCAUGUUCCUCUCACAUACGAGAAGCGCAGCACUGCUGAUUCCGUGGCCGCUAAAGUUGCUGAAAAACUUGAGUCUGCUAAGGAAGCUGUUUGAGGAGCGGGUAGUGGCACCACCAACCAUAACAAAACAGGCUGAACCAAACUUUUCCUCUGUUUUCUUUUUUGGACUAUGUAUUUAUAUAGUGUAAUACAACACAAAUAAAAGGUUUCUGGUUUAGAUUGUGGUACGUUGA